rnacentral:rRNA from 1 species
GGCGAACCGAGCGAACGUUAUUCGGAAUCACUGGGCUUAAAGCGUGCGCAGGCGGUUAUGUAAGACAGGUGUGAAAUCCCCGGGCUUAACCUGGGAACUGCAUUUGUGACUGCAUAGCUAGAGUACGGUAGAGGGGAGUAGUGAAUUCCGCGUGUAGCAGUGAAAUGCGUAGAUAUGCGGAGGAACACCGAUGGCGAAGGCAAUCCCCUGGACCUGUACUGACGCUCAUGCACGAAAGCGUGGGGGAGCAAACAGG